CACCGGCGCCACAAGUGGGGACCGACUUUAUUUGGUCUAAAGCGUUCGUAGCCGGUUGUGUAAAUCUUUUGUGAAAUCGUCAUGCUUAACUUGGCGGAUGGCAGGAGACACUGCAUAACUAGAGAUCGGGAGGGGUUUGGAGUAUUCCUUGGGGAGCGGUAAAAUGUUAUAAUCCUUGGAAGACUACCUGUGGCGAAGGCGCCAAACCAGAACGAGUCUGACGGUGAGGAACGAAAGCUAGGGGA
rnacentral:rRNA from 1 species